rnacentral:rRNA from 1 species
GUGCGAAGGUAGCAUAAUCAUUAGUCUCUUAAUUGGAGGCUUGUAUGAAUGGUUGGACAAAAAGCAAACUGUCUCAAUUAUAUUUAUUGAAUUUAACUUUUAAGUGAAAAGGCUUAAAUAACUUAAGGGGACGAUAAGACCCUAUAAAGCUUUACAAUAAGUUAUCUAUAUUAUAAAUUGUUAGUAUAACUUGAUUUUAGAUAAUAUUUGUUGCGUUGGGGCGACGGGAAUAUAAUGAGUAACUGUUCUUAAGCUAUUUAAUAACAGGAAUUUCUGGAAAAUUAAUGAUCCUCUUUUAGAGAUCAUAAGAUUAAGUUACUUUAGGGAUAACAGCGUAAUCUUCUUUGAGAGUCCAUAUCGACAGGAAGGGUUGCGACCCCGAUGUUGAAUUAAGG